AUGUUUGCUUUCAAUAUACAUGGUCGUGAGCCUGCAGUGGAGAGAUUGGUUGUGCACCUUCCUCGAGUCUUCAUAAGGAGUUACCUUGGAACCAGGAAAGUUGCUUUAAUUUUUGUUGAGAAGACGACGAAAAAUAAUGGAUACAAUUAUGGAGUAAAUAAAUUACUUUGGCUGAACAACCUACAACAAACUGACCCAUGCUUGUCAUACUACUAUCUUCUGUCAUUUUCAUGGUAUUUUCUAGCUCUUAGUCUGCAAGUGUUGCCAACUCUAAUGACUCACGACGCAGACUCGCAUAUUGCAUGA
rnacentral:rRNA from 1 species